GGACGCGCCGCUCUUGGCUGGGGGAGCCGGCGCACGCGGCGGAGGCGGGGGGAAGCUUGAGCGAGUCUGGAUUGUUCUCAGGAUUUCCCAUUGCCAACCCCUGGGAUGCUGCGAGGAAGAGGAAGAUGCCCUGGGACACUGAGGCAGAGCAGGAGCUGAGCAUGGAGAGCAGGGAGGACAAAUGCCCGCGGCAGAACCUGGUGGAAGAGGCCGUUUUGAGCGGCUCCA